rnacentral:rRNA from 1 species
GACGAACGCUGGCGGCGUGCCUAAUACAUGCAAGUAGAACGCACAGUUUAUACCGUAGCUUGCUACACCAUAGACUGUGAGUUGCGAACGGGUGAGUAACGCGUAGGUAACCUGCCUGGUAGCGGGGGAUAACUAUUGGAAACGAUAGCUAAUGCCGCAUAAUAUUGAUUAUUGCAUGAUAAUUAAUUGAAAGGUGCAAUUGCACCACUACCAGAUGGACCUGCGUUGUAUUAGCUAGUAGGUGAGGUAACGGCUCACCUAGGCGACGAUACAUAGCCGACCUGAGAGGGUGAUCGGCCACACUGGGACUGAGACAAGGCCCAGACUCCUACGGGAGGCAGCAGUAGGGAAUCUUCGGCAAUGGACGAAAGUCUGACCGAGCAACGCCGCGUGAGGGAAGAAGGUUUUCGGAUCGUAAAGCUCUGUUGUAAGAGAAGAACGGGUGUGAGAGUGGAAAGUUCACACUGUGACGGUAUCUUACCAGAAAGGGACGGCUAACUACGUG